GGGUUGUGAGGUUAAGCGACUAAGCGUACACGGUGGAUGCCCUGGCAGUCAGAGGCGAUGAAGGACGUGCUAAUCUGCGAAAAGCGCCGGCGAGGUGAUAUGAACCUUUGACCCGGCGAUGUCCGAAUGGGGAAACCCAGUGUGAUUCGUCACACUAUCGUUAACUGAAUACAUAGGUUAACGAGGCGAACCGGGGGAACUGAAACAUCUAAGUACCCCGAGGAAAAGAAAUCAACCGAGAUUCCCCCAGUAGCGGCGAGCGAACGGGGAGCAGCCCAGAGUCUGAAUCAGCUUGUGUGUUAGUGGAACGGUCUGGAAAGUCCGGCGAUACAGGGUGACAGCCCCGUACACGAAAGCACACAGGCUGUGAACUCGAAGAGUAGGGCGGGACACGUGGUAUCCUGUCUGAAUAUGGGGGGACCAUCCUCCAAGGCUAAAUACUCCUGACUGACCGAUAGUGAACCAGUACCGUGAGGGAAAGGCGAAAAGAACCCCGGCGAGGGGAGUGAAAAAGAACCUGAAACCGUGUACGUACAAGCAGUGGGAGCACCUUCGUGGUGUGACUGCGUACCUUUUGUAUAAUGGGUCAGCGACUUAUAUUCUGUAGCAAGGUUAACCGUAUAGGGGAGCCGAAGGGAAACCGAGUCUUAACUGGGCGUUAAGUUGCAGGGUAUAGACCCGAAACCCGGUGAUCUAGCCAUGGGCAGGUUGAAGGUUGGGUAACACUAACUGGAGGACCGAACCGACUAAUGUUGAAAAAUUAGCGGAUGACUUGUGGCUGGGGGUGAAAGGCCAAUCAAACCGGGAGAUAGCUGGUUCUCCCCGAAAGCUAUUUAGGUAGCGCCUCGUGAACUCAUCUUCGGGGGUAGAGCACUGUUUCGGCUAGGGGGCCAUCCCGGCUUACCAACCCGAUGCAAACUACGAAUACCGAAGAAUGUUAUCACGGGAGACACACGGCGGGUGCUAACGUCCGUCGUGAAGAGGGAAACAACCCAGACCGCCAGCUAAGGUCCCAAAGUCAUGGUUAAGUGGGAAACGAUGUGGGAAGGCACAGACAGCCAGGAUGUUGGCUUAGAAGCAGCCAUCAUUUAAAGAAAGCGUAAUAGCUCACUGGUCGAGUCGGCCUGCGCGGAAGAUGUAACGGGGCUAAACCAUGCACCGAAGCUGCGGCAGCGACGCUUAUGCGUUGUUGGGUAGGGGAGCGUUCUGUAAGCCGUUGAAGGUGUGCUGUGAGGCAUGCUGGAGGUAUCAGAAGUGCGAAUGCUGACAUAAGUAACGAUAAAGCGGGUGAAAAGCCCGCUCGCCGGAAGACCAAGGGUUCCUGUCCAACGUUAAUCGGGGCAGGGUGAGUCGACCCCUAAGGCGAGGCCGAAAGGCGUAGUCGAUGGGAAACAGGUUAAUAUUCCUGUACUUGGUGUUACUGCGAAGGGGGGACGGAGAAGGCUAUGUUAGCCGGGCGACGGUUGUCCCGGUUUAAGCAUGUAGGCGGAGGUUCCAGGUAAAUCCGGUACCUUUUAACGCUGAGGUGUGAUGACGAGGCACUACGGUGCUGAAGUAACAAAUGCCCUGCUUCCAGGAAAAGCCUCUAAGCAUCAGGUAACACGAAAUCGUACCCCAAACCGACACAGGUGGUCAGGUAGAGAAUACCAAGGCGCUUGAGAGAACUCGGGUGAAGGAACUAGGCAAAAUGGUGCCGUAACUUCGGGAGAAGGCACGCUGAUAUGUAGGUGAAGCCCCUGCGGGUGGAGCUGAAAUCAGUCGAAGAUACCAGCUGGCUGCAACUGUUUAUUAAAAACACAGCACUGUGCAAACACGAAAGUGGACGUAUACGGUGUGACGCCUGCCCGGUGCCGGAAGGUUAAUUGAUGGGGUUAGCGGCAACGCGAAGCUCUUGAUCGAAGCCCCGGUAAACGGCGGCCGUAACUAUAACGGUCCUAAGGUAGCGAAAUUCCUUGUCGGGUAAGUUCCGACCUGCACGAAUGGCGUAAUGAUGGCCAGGCUGUCUCCACCCGAGACUCAGUGAAAUUGAACUCGCUGUGAAGAUGCAGUGUACCCGCGGCAAGACGGAAAGACCCCGUGAACCUUUACUAUAGCUUGACACUGAACACUGGUCCUUGAUGUGUAGGAUAGGUGGGAGGCUUUGAAGCGUGGACGCCAGUCUGCGUGGAGCCAACCUUGAAAUACCACCCUUUAAUGGCUGGUGUUCUAACGUAGACCCGUAAUCCGGGUUGCGGACAGUGUCUGGUGGGUAGUUUGACUGGGGCGGUCUCCUCCCAAAGAGUAACGGAGGAGCACGAAGGUUAGCUAAUCCUGGUCGGACAUCAGGAGGUUAGUGCAAUGGCAUAAGCUAGCUUGACUGCGAGAGUGACGGCUCGAGCAGGUGCGAAAGCAGGUCAUAGUGAUCCGGUGGUUCUGAAUGGAAGGGCCAUCGCUCAACGGAUAAAAGGUACUCCGGGGAUAACAGGCUGAUACCGCCCAAGAGUUCAUAUCGACGGCGGUGUUUGGCACCUCGAUGUCGGCUCAUCACAUCCUGGGGCUGAAGUAGGUCCCAAGGGUAUGGCUGUUCGCCAUUUAAAGUGGUACGCGAGCUGGGUUUAGAACGUCGUGAGACAGUUCGGUCCCUAUCUGCCGUGGGCGCUGGAGAAUUGAGGGGGGCUGCUCCUAGUACGAGAGGACCGGAGUGGACGCAUCACUGGUGUUCGGGUUGUCAUGCCAAUGGCACUGCCCGGUAGCUAAAUGCGGAAAAGAUAAGUGCUGAAAGCAUCUAAGCACGAAACUUGCCCCGAGAUGAGUUCUCCCUGACCCUUUAAGGGUCCUGAAGGAACGUUGAAGACGACGACGUUGAUAGGUCGGGUGUGUAAGCGCAGCGAUGCGUUGAGCUAACCGAUACUAAUGAACCGUGAGGCUUAACCUUACAACGCCGAAGCUGUU
rnacentral:rRNA from 1 species